rnacentral:rRNA from 1 species
AUGUAGGCAGCGAGCGUUGUUCGGAGUUACUGGGCGUAAAGAGUAUGUAGGCGGUGCUGCAAGUUUGGUGUGAAAUCUCCCGGAUUAACUGGGAGGGGGCGCCGAAAACUGCAGUGCUUGAGUGCGGGAGAGGAGAGCGGAAUUCCUGGUAUAGCGGUCUAAUGCCUAGAUAUCAUGAUGAACACCGGCGGUGUAGACAGCUCUCUGGACCGUGUCUCACUCUGAGAUACGUAAGCGUGGGGAUCAAUCAG